rnacentral:rRNA from 1 species
UACGGAGGGGGCUAGCGUUGUUCGGAAUUACUGGGCGUAAAGCGCACGUAGGCGGAUCAGUCGGUCAGGGGUGAAAUCCCGGGGCUCAACCCCGGAACUGCCUUUGAUACUGCUGGUCUUGAGGUCGAGAGAGGUGAGUGGAAUUCCGAGUGUAGAGGUGAAAUUCGUAGAUAUUCGGAGGAACACCAGUGGCGAAGGCGGCUCACUGGCUCGAUACUGACGCUGAGGUGCGAAAGCGUGGGGAGCAAACAGG